UACGAAGGGGGCUAGCGUUGUUCGGAAUCACUGGGCGUAAAGGGCGCGUAGGCGGCUGUUCAAGUCGGGGGUGGAAUCCCGUGGCUCAACCACGGAAUGGCCUUCGAUACUGGACGGCUGGAGACCGGAAGAGGUGAGUGGAACUGCGAGUGUAGAGGUGAAAUUCGUAGAUAUUCGCAAGAACACCAGUGGCGAAGGCGGCUCACUGGUCCGGUUCUGACGCUGAGGCGCGAAAGCGUGGGGAGCAAACAGG
rnacentral:rRNA from 1 species